rnacentral:rRNA from 1 species
UACGUAGGGUGCAAGCGUUGUCCGGAAUUAUUGGGCGUAAAGAGCUCGUAGGCGGUUUGUCACGUCUGCUGUGAAAACUGGAGGCUCAACCUCCAGCCUGCAGUGGGUACGGGCAGACUAGAGUGAUGUAGGGGAGACUGGAAUUCCUGGUGUAGCGGUGAAAUGCGCAGAUAUCAGGAGGAACACCGAUGGCGAAGGCAGGUCUCUGGGCAUUAACUGACGCUGAGGAGCGAAAGCAUGGGGAGCGAACAGG